rnacentral:RNase_P_RNA from 1 species
GUUACAAGCCGGGUUAUCGUUCCCGCCCCGGCGGGAAAGGAAAGUCCGGACAGCGCAGGGCAAUGCACCGGUGAACAGCCGGGUGUUCUGUUUCGGCAGAGCAACAGAUAGUGCCACAGAAAAUAACUGUCCAGUCGCAAGGCAGGAUGAGGGUGAAAAUGUGAGGUAAGAGCUCACGGUGUUCUGUAGUAAUACAGAAUGCGGGUAAACCUUGUAUGCUGAAAUGCCAUGUAAAUCCUGCUUUUAACCAGGCAGCUGGUAAAAGGUGAGCGGCCCGUUCACUAUUUCGCCCCGGCGGGAUGGCAGGAAGGGUAGGCAGAUUGAUUCAUUGAGGUAACUCUUUGAACAGAUAAAUGAUAACCGCCCCCGCCCGUGGCGGGGGUACAGAAUCCGGCUUACAGGCUUGUAACAUUU